UCCCUGAUGGUCUAGUGGUUAGGACUUGGCACUUUCACUGCUGCGGCCCAGGUUCAAUCCCUGGUCUGGGAA
rnacentral:tRNA from 2 species